rnacentral:lncRNA from 1 species
GUAAAACAAAAAACACACAAAAUUGUGUAAAUCUAACUAGUUCUUAUUUAAUUUAGUUUUAAUUUUAGAUUCAAAUUUCUUUGCUUAUGGUAUAUAAUAGGAUUGGAUUAUCUACAUAGAGGAUGCAAACCAACAAUAAUCCACCGAGAUAUAAAGACAAGCAACAUAUUAUUAUCGGAAAAAUUAGAAGCUAAGAUAACGGAUUUUGGAUUGUGUAAAAUCUUCGAAAAUAAUGAUGCAAUGACGCAUAUGUCAACUAAUGUGUUGGGUACUCCUGGUUAUCUCGACCCUGAGUAAGUCUUUAUAUAUCCAACUAUCAAUUAAGUAGACUCAAAAGAUCCAUGUAUGCAUCUAAUUCCAAUUCAUAAUUUUCUUGAUUUUACUGUCAAAGCCAUAUAUAGAUAUAGGGUGCAUUUUUUAUGCGGUUCAUCCUCAAUGCGGAUGACUGCGGUCGCCGUUCCGCAUUGGGAACGAUCCACCUCCCGUACUGGGACCUAUCGCCCGAACCACCGACACGAGGUUCGCGAUCUGGAACCCAUCGCGGUUACGUUACACGGUUCGGGCGGUUGGGGACGAACCGCGAUGGGUUCCAUCACCCGAACACACCGCGGUUCCAUACCAAUGGGUUCCGAUCAUGAUUGACCGUGGCAUGAGGUUCGCGAUGGCGCCUUACCGCGAUAUGUUUCGCCUUACCGCGAUAUGUUUGGGCUCUUCAAUCAUCGGAUGAUCGGACUUCGGUGGUUUUGUUGAAGUUAACGGACCUCAUGCCGUCCCCUCACCGCGUUGUGGUACGGUCCGCAACGGAGCACCGUCAGAUUGUCAAUUCAGUUGUCAAUCCGGGUGGGCGUCCGUAGGAGGUAUCAGGUGCGGACAACCACACCUGAUACGGGUUGUAUAGAUAUAUAUUACUUUAAGUCUUUAACUCCAGUCGCAAUUGUAAUCACAAACUAAUUUCAACCAUCUAUUCAUUCUAAUGUGUAGAUAUCGAAAAACAUACAAGUUGAAAGAGAAAAGUGAUGUUUACAGCUUUGGAAUCGUUCUUCUAGAAUUAAUAACAGGUAAACCUGCCGUAAUAAAGAAUGCAGACGAAGAUUAUAUUUUAUUGGGAGAAUGGAUGGAUGCAAUCCAUGCACGAGGGGAUAUACUUGCAAUUGUUGAUCCAAAGUUAAAUGGAGAAUAUGAUAUCAACUCUGCUUUGAAAGCUCUUGAGAUAGCCUCAGCAUGCACUCCUUCCUUAUCCGAACGAAGAUCAUCGAUGCAUGAUAUCGUGACACUUUUAAAGGAGUGCUUAGAGAUUGAAAUAACAUGUGGAGCUUGCAGAUAUAGAAGCUCGAAUUUUAUGGCUAAUUAUGAAGAUGAAAUGUUUACAGGUCCUACAAUAAGGUAGGGAUUGAAAUUCCCAAAGACUCUGCGUGCAGACAUCUAUGCAUACAUAUGGAGUUUGUCUAUUCUAUCUAAUAUAUGUGUGAUUCGCAUCCUCUAUCAAUUAUCACCUGAUCAAGUGAUAGGGAAUAAUAAAAAUGUUAGUUGUAGUAAUUUGAGAGGUUAUAUAGUGUUUUUUCCAUUUCAUCUAUGUAAAUGUCAUUGUAAUAAACAAAAGAAAUAAAAUAGAAAUUUUAUUAUGUGAUAUAGAAUCAAAAACAAUCAACGGAUUACAAUGAAUUAAUGAUGUUCAGAAAAUAUAGACAUAUGCAAAGAGUAAUUACUGGUGAGGGAAUUAAUCAACCAACAUAACCAAUAAUCUAUACUUAACGUAAGAGAAAGAAGAAACAGAUUACAUACCGUAGUAUUGAAUCUGAAGUUGAUUCGAUAUUGCAUCUUUGAAAGAGAAAAAGCGAUUGUCUGGCUUCUACAAAGAGGAAUACAUGUUAUUGUCCAAUGGACUCAACUCUAAGGAUGAUAUAAAUGGUGUUCCAAAUAUUUUUACCAAACAAACCACCAUCGAUUUUUUUAGGCAAAAGCCAUUAUUUCUACUGUAUGGUAUCAGACCCAUUAAGGUCAACUGAGAUCGACAUCCAGAUAGAAAUCAAACUGAAGAAUUCUAUUCAAUGUAUCAUAAUUAGCAUAUAGGAAUAAUACUCUAAUUAAGUACUUUUUUUUAUCUAUUUGGACAUAUAGUCUGUAGCAAUUUCUGGAUCCUUCAGGAAAGCUUCUUAAAUGAUAUCCCUGUUUAUUCGAUGCAAUUUUUUUUACCAUGCCAUGACUAGGAAUCUUUUUGUUUCAUACCACUUUCGACAAAGCUUGAAUCAGAUAUGUAGGUUAAAUCCGUUGCAUUAUCAACAUAAUCAUUUUCUUGACCACAGUUAAUGCUUAUGAAUUCUGAAUAUAUAUAAAAACGAGCAAAAUUUCGAGAUAAAAGGCAUUAAUAUUUAAAGAAACAGAAUUGAAAGAAUUGAACUAUGUAGAGAGUUUAGCGAUUAAGGAUUGACAUGUAUAUGUAGUUUUAAACUCACAGAUAUUCAUUAUCAUAAACAAAAAGAAAAAUUUCAAAUUACUUAUGUUUGUGAUUACUCCGAUUAGCAUUUCAACGGCCAAAACCUUGGUAGGAUUCAUUUGCAAUAACCCAAAAUCUCUAAAAUUUAAUAUGAAAUUGAGAAAAGGUUCGAUACCAUCAAGCUGACCAUGGACCUUAAUGAUGAGAUGAAUGCCAGAAAAUCCGUCAGAUGUAGAACAGAAGACAAUCUAUUCCUGCCAUUUUCAUUUUUAAAUCCUCAGCAUCUGAAUUUGCAAUAAUACAUCAGCUAAUAGAGAGAAGAAGAAAUGAGAGCUGUGCAAAUGAAAUUAGUAAGAUGGGGUUUAUUUACAACUGUGCUGGUAUGUUUCCAAGGGAGAGUGAUGUGGAAGGUCAACCCCUUUCAUCCUCAAGAGUUAUUGUCUGCACAUCUAUAUAUUCAUCAGCUAAUAUUACAAUUUUAUGGUGCUCUCGAUCUUGUCAUUUUUUAUCAGACAACCAAGAAUGGAAUUGCAAACAGCUGCAUUAUUAUUGAUUGAUUUAUUAGUUAAACUGGUAUACACUUGCAGAGCUUUCAAAUGAUUUCAACUAAUGUGUGGCUAAAAUGCCUAAAAAACGACUCCCUGAUAUCGAAAAAAACAAAAUGCUAUCAUUGAAUAUGAAAUAACCUGAGAAACCUCUGACCAUCUUCCCAAAUUCCCAAAAUGUCGCAAGAUAAUAUUCAAGUCUUGCACGAGCAAUACGUUCUCAAACCUGUAACGAGCAUAAAGCUUUGUAAAUCUCGGCAAUGUAUUGAACAUUUGAACCAAAUUUAGCAUAUGAAUAUACGAUCGAUCAACACACUGAAAAUGAGGCAGAUUUUGGAAUUACGAAGAGAGGGUUACCUGGAGAGAGUCGCAAGCAAGUCGGCGAAGUUCUUGAGUGCAGAUACAGCGGAUUGUCGUGGAGUGGGGCGGAAAUCAGAAGAUACAAUGACUGCGGAGGUGGAGGAAGUGGAAGCGGAAGAAGAGAGAUAGGAUUUGUGUAGGGUUUUGGAGAAAGAAGAGGAGGGAGAUGGAUUGCAAUUCCUGGUGGUGAUGUUGGUUAGGAGAAAAUGCGAUCGGAAUCUGGAGGAGACGGAUGGAGGUAGUGGAUAUGCGACACCGUCUGCAUCUCUUUUCCGGAUGCAGAAUUGCAGAUGCGGAAGAAAGAAAAAGAAAUCUAAACCGUUUCCAUGUUAUAUUAUAUCUAUUUUGAGAUUGAGCUGAUUGGGUGUGUUUAUCUUAUAUUUAAUGGUUAUCAUGUGUAUUGAAUAACUACAAAAAUAGAAGUAUAAAUCUCGAAAAAAAAUGAUCUGGACACUCUGAGUGCACCCAAUAUGGACGCACCAAAAGGAUCUAGAUGGACCUUCUUAUUUCAUUCUUCAACUCCAAGGGCAAGGAUAUGGAUGGGUCUCUUAUGUAAUUGUGAAGGAUACCAUGAAUGCGUUGAUUAAUGGCAAACUUGAUAAGGAUGAUAUUAUCGUGAUCUAGUUCCUUGUACAUCAGGCUAGUGGAAGUUUGUCAUGCCUUAGUAGUUCAUCUAUAUAUCUUGACGUAGACCAAAGAAAUAAAAAAGAUAUGAUGAGCCUUGAAUAUAACUCAUAAACUUCUCUCUAGCUAUUUACUCUCUUGGUAUUACAAGUGGCAAAAACUAAAUCCUUCUCAUGUGUCCCCUAGAGAGGAAAAUAUAGUGGUGUCUGAUUAGGCUAGCCAGGCUUGCCGGACCAAGCCUUUUUCCUCUCAGGCCUAUGGACCAGGGUGGACUGGAUCAGGUAUACUUCUGGAAAGAUAGUGCCUCUCUCUUCUUUUUAUAACGUCCAUCUGAUCUAAUCGAUCUCUUUGAUAAUUAUUCAAUUUGACUUUUAGGACAAAUUAAUUUCUAAAUGUAAAUAUUCAAUAUUUUUUGUUUCAAAGUUGACAUUCUUAAUUAGAUGCUUAUAAUAAAUUUAAAGAAAAUGAUGUUUAAAUUAAAGUCAAAUGAACUAAUUAAUUAUUCUUAAAUGCUUUAAAAAAACUAAUUAUUUGUAAUAGGUUUAUUAAAUUUUUCAAAAUACUAUUAGAUAUUUUUGUUAUAUAAUAAUUUAAAACCUACGAAAUUUCAUCAAAAAUAGUUCAUAUAUGUUUUUAUGUAGUGUGGAAAAGAUGACAACGACAAUUAAAAAAUAAAAAAUAAUCAUUCAAGUGGAAUAAAAUUGACUAAGCUAUUUUGCAUGGUAAUAGAAUAAUGGGGUAUUUAUUUUCUGAAAGUAAAAAUAAUGUAAUCCACAUAUAACUGAUAUAGGAGAAUUAGUGUAUUAUUUAUUGUAUCUGAUAUUAAUUUUGAUUUUGAUUUUGAUUUUGAUUUUAAAAUGAUUAAUGGCAUCUAAGACUGAUGCCAUUUUUCUAUCUAUAUAUCCUAUAUACAAUUCAUAUCAUUUUAUAUACAAAGAGAUAUCGAAAGCAGAGAAUGGUGAGAAAAGCAUCCAUGAAAGAACAGAAGAUAGGUGCAUCUGAAGUGCCAAUAUUGUUGGUUUCCUUGGGAUUGUUGAUCUUCUCUUUAUCAGUUAAUGGACAAAAUAUGGAUGGUAAUUAUAUGUUCUUCGACUAUAUAUAUAUGUUUAUCGUGUUAAUUAACUCUGAAUCAUGCAUUCAAUUGUAGAUGGAUUCAUAAGCAUCGAUUGUGGACAAGAAAAGAACUACACAGACACCGCAACAGGUUUGCGCUAUGUUUCUGAUUUUGAUGGGUUUGUAGAUACUGGUGAGACUCACAAGAUCCCCACUGAUAUGGAACAAUAUGCAACGAACCAACAAGGAUAUCAUUUGAGAAGUUUUCCGAAUGGAAUCAGGAACUGCUACAGAUUACUAGUUGAUGAAAAUAAAAAGUAUUUGAUAAGAGCAUCAUUCAUGUAUGGCAAUUAUGAUCAGAGAAACAAUCCUCCACAGUUUGAUCUCUAUCUGAAUGUCGAUCUAUGGAGCUCGGUUGAUCUUAGAGGACGAUCCAAAACUCAUGUAUUCUUAGAAAUUUCGGUUUUUGCUUCGAGAAAUUGGAUGUUUGUUUGUGUGGUAAAUACAGGAUUGGGGACACCAUUUGUAUCCUCUUUGGAGUUGAGGCCUUUAAAAGAUGAUAUGUAUCCUUUAGUGACGAAUAAUCAAUCAUUCGUCCUCUUUCAACGAAGCAAUGUUCAACCAAUUAGAAAUGAAACAUUAAGGUAAAUCUUUUUUUUCUAUCUUUAUAUGUCGAUCGUUUACAUAUAUAUUUUAUGUGUUGUAUUUUCAGGUAUCCGACUGAUAUCUAUGAUCGCUUUUGGAUUCCAUAUUACUCCAAGUCUUUGGAAACGUUAUCUACCGAAUCAAAGAUUGUGCAAUGUACAGCUUGUUUAAAAUACCCAGCUCCAAUGGAUGUGUUGAAAACAUGUGGAGCGCCCAUUGCAAAUGGUUCAGAUAUAAAUAUCACAUUCCAGUGGCCACUCAAUAAUAUCACGUCUCGGAAAAUAGUCUAUGCAUUCCACUAUGCAGAAAUCCAAUCCCUCACAACAAAUCAAUCAAGGAAUUUUUCUUUUUUUAAGAGCUUUCAGGAUCGGUCAUCCGGGCCAUUCAAGUUUCCAAAGUAUUUAACAGCAACUUAUUUGCACAAGCCAACACCAGUGCAGGUAUCGAUAGAUUUUUUCUACAUGACUUUUCGCAAAACAAAAAAUUCUACACUUCCUCCACUCUUAAGUGCCAUGGAAAUAUAUGAAGUCAAACAAACAUCAAAGUUAAUUUCUACUGGGAAAGAAGGUAUAUAUGUCAAAUAUAGUAUGUACAUGUAAUUCAUUAAUCAAUCAAUCAAUUCAUUUAUUGUAUAUGUAUAUACAGUUGAAGCCAUGAUGGAAAUAAAAAAAUCAUACAAAUUGGAGAAGAAUUGGCAAGGGGAUCCAUGUGCUCCAGAGAACUUAAUUUGGAAAGGGAUCAAAUGUAGAAAAUUUUCAAUCGUUUCUUUGUAAGUCGGUUUUAUUUGAUGCAAAAGAAAACAAUAUUACAUAAUUACAUAUAUCAUGUUAGAAUCAUGUUAAUAUGUGCAUGAUAAGAUAAUAUGAGAUAUCUGAUCUUUUUUAUCUAAAGAUUUAUGAUAUUAUUGAGAUUGAGAUUAACUGUUGUGAUUAAAUUAUCUCAUAUAAUCUCAUCACUCAUUAUUGUAACUUGCUCUUUUCUUUUAAUUAAUGUAUGUAUAUAUUGAAUAAUACUUAAUUAUAGGAACAUGUCAUCAAAUGGGCUGAGUGGGAAAAUAGCACUUUCAAUUAGAGAUCUCAAACAACUUGAAAACUUGUAAGCUGGUUUUCUAUUUAAUUUUUAGAUCCAAAUAUGAAUGAGAAGAAAUAUAAUAAAAUAUAAAUAAUUUAUUUACUAUUAUUUUGUUGACAUAAAUGCAGAGACUUAUCAAACAAUAAAUUGAAUGGAAAAAUCCCACACUUCCUCUCAGACUUAGAAAGUCUUAAAUUUUUGUAAGUGUAUAUUUUUUUAAAAAUAAUUAUAACUACUAUCAAUUAUUCUUUUAACUAACUAGUUAUAAUAUAUUUAUCAAUAGGGAUGUGUCUAGAAAUAAUCUUAAUGGGGAUAUACCAGAAGGCUUGAAAAUAAAAAUUGAAGAUGGAUUCCUCAACAUAAGGUAUGAAUAAAAUUAAAAAACAAAACCUGUGUAAUCUUGUUUCAAUUCCACCCAUAUAUUUUGGAUGUGAACAUAUAUAUGAAAAUUGAUUGUUGGAUCCCCCUCCAUCUUAUGUAAGAUUUGAAGGAAAUCCUAAUCUUUACAAAAAGUCAAACAAAAUUGUCAUCAUUAUUCCUAUUGUGGUAAUUACUUUGGUAAUUAUCGCGAUAACAGUCAUCGUGGUUGUUAUUUGGAAAAGGAAAAGAAAACUCUAUGGUAAGCUAAUUAAACACUAUCUAGUUCAUUUUUGCAAAUUUUAAGAAUUAUGUUUACUAACUUAUAUAUUAAAUUCUUUAAUUAAGGUCGAAAAAGAAUUAUUGAAAGUAAAGGAAGAGGAUCUUUCCGUCUUCCAUCUUUUAGUUCCAAUAACAAGAUAUUGACAUACAUCGAUUUGAUCAACAUAACCAACGAUUUCGAUAAAAUAAUUGGACAAGGAGGAUUUGGUACUGUGUAUCAUGGAACAAUGAACAAUGGAAUUCAAGUGGCGGUCAAACAUCUCUCUGUUGCUUCAUCUCAAGGAUCAAAAGAAUUUCAAAUGGAGGUAGGCCUCAUUUAUACAUCCAUUAUUAUUUUAAAAAACGUUUCAAGAUAUCUUAUAAGAUAUUAAUCUAGACAGUUCAUUUAUUUUAAAUGAAAUGAACCAUAUCUUGAGAUCGUACUUCAGUUUAAUGACUAUAUAUGUAUAUGCAGGCACAUCUCCUUACAACGAUUCAUCACAAGAACAUAGUACCUUUAGUUGGGUAUUGUAAUGAGAAAGAUCAUCUAGCAUUGGUAUAUGAAUAUAUGGUAGGCGGAAAUCUAAAAGAUCAUCUUUCAGGUUUGUUAAUAUAAUCCAAGCUCUCCAUCGCAUGAACGCCUAGGUCGCCUAGGCGUCGUCUUAAACACGAUGGAAAUUUUGUAUAAUUUCCCCUGUAUUUUUCUAAUAUUACUAUAAAUACCUGUAUUUUUAGAAAUAUUAAUAAAAUAUAUAUAGAAUCAUUAGAAUGAAAUAAAAGUCUUAAGGAAAAUAAAAUAUUACUAACGAAGUCUUAUGAGCCAUAGGGCUGCCUGAAAAAGAGGGAGAAGAAAAAAAUAAGUGGCUAGAAAUAAGAGGAAAAUAAGGGAAUAGGGUUUUAAAACCCUAACUCUUCUUUUUAUAAGAUUUAAAUAGGUAUUUGGGUUAGACAGAUCCAACCGUAUCCGCCUAACCCGCCUAGUACGUGAAGGCAGAUCGCCUACAGGUGUUGGAUCGUAUGAUCGCCUAGACGAUCGCAUAUAAAAGCUUGAUACCAUCAAACCAAAAUAUAUUUUUUUUGCACAUACUGAAAUUACAUUAUUCUUGUUGCAUGAAGGAUCAAUUAGCUCUUUGACGAAAAUAUGUUGGAGAGAUCGACUUAGGAUAGCAUUAGAAGUUGCAGAAGGUACGUAAAACAAAAAACACACAAAAUUAUGUAAAUCGAACUGGUUCUUAUUUAAUUUAGUUUUAAUUUUAGAUUCAAAUUUAUUUGCUGUAUAUAAUAGGAUUGGAUUAUCUACAUAGAGGAUGCAAAACAACAAUAAUCCACAGAGAUAUAAAGACAAGCAACAUAUUAUUAUCGGAGAAAUUAGAAGCUAUGAUAGCGGAUUUUGGAUUGUGUAAAAUCUUCGAAAAUAAUGAUGCAAUGACGCAUAUGUCAACUAAUGUGUUGGGUACUCCUGGUUAUCUCGACCCUGAGUAAGUCUUUAUAUAUCUAACUAUCAAUUAAGUAGACUCAAAAGAUCCAUGUAUGCAUCUAAUUUCAAUUCAUAAUUUUCUUGAUUUUACUGUCAAAGUAGUAUAUAGAUAUAUAUACUACUUUAAUUCCAUUUGCAAUUGUAAUCACAAACUAAUUUCAACCAUCUAUUCAUUCUAAUGUGUAGAUAUCGAAAAACACACAAGUUAAAAGAGAAAAGUGAUGUUUACAGCUUUGGAAUCGUUCUUCUAGAAUUAAUAACAGGUAAACCUGCCGUAAUAAAGAAUGCAGACGAAGAUUAUAUUUUAUUGGCAGAAUGGGUGGAUUCAAUCCAUGCACAAGGGGAUAUACUUGCAAUUGUUGAUCCAAAGUUAAAUGGAGAAUAUGAUAUCAACUCUGCUGGAAAAGCUCUUGAG